AACGAACGCUGGCGGCAUGCCUAAUACAUGCAAGUCGAACGAGACCUUCGGGUCUUGUGUCCCACGGGUUCGUAACGCGUGGGAACCUGCCCUUAGGUUCGGAAUAACUCCCCGAAAGGGGUGCUAAUACCGGAUAAUGUCUUCUGACCAAAGAUUUAUCGCCUUUGGAUGGGCCCGCGUUGGAUUAGCUAGUUGGUAGGGUAAAAGCCUACCAAGGCGACGAUCCAUAGCUGUUCUCAGAGGAUGAUCAGCCACACUGGGACUGAGACACGGCCCAGACUCCUACGGGAGGCAGCAGUGGGGAAUAUUGGACCAUGGGCGAAAGCCUGAUCCAGCAAUGCCGCGUGAAUGAUGAAGGCCUUAGGGUUGUAAAGCUCUUUUACCCGGGAUGAUAAUGACAGUACCGGGAGAAUAAGCUCCGGCUAACUCCGUG
rnacentral:rRNA from 1 species